rnacentral:ncRNA from 1 species
UAUUCUUAUUAGGAAUCUUCAAGUCUGGUAAUUGGAAUGAGUACAAUCUAAAUCCCUUAACGAGGAUCAAUUGGAGGGCAAGUCUGGUGCCAGCAGCCGCGAUAAUUCCAGCUCCAA